CGCGAGGUAGAGCAGUUGGCAGCUCGUCGGGCUCAUAACCCGGAGGUCGUAGGUUCGAGUCCUACCCUCGCUA
rnacentral:tRNA from 1 species